rnacentral:rRNA from 1 species
GAAAGAAAAAGAGUGGCGAACGGGUGAGUAACACGUGGGUAACCUGCCCAUCAGAAGGGGAUAACACUUGGAAACAGGUGCUAAUACCGUAUAACACUAUUUUCCGCANGGAAGAAAGUUGAAAGGCGCUUUUGCGUCACUGAUGGAUGGACCCGCGGUGCAUUAGCUAGUUGGUGAGGUAACGGCUCACCAAGGCCACGAUGCAUAGCCGACCUGAGAGGGUGAUCGGCCACACUGGGACUGAGACACGGCCCAGACUCCUACGGGAGGCAGCAGUAGGGAAUCUUCGGCAAUGGACGAAAGUCUGACCGAGCAACGCCGCGUGAGUGAAGAAGGUUUUCGGAUCGUAAAACUCUGUUGUUAGAGAAGAACAAGGAUGAGAGUAGA